ACAAUAGUCAAAGCCAAGUUAUUAGAGUAGGAAAAUGACAGCAGUAGAGCACCGGUAAAGCAGGUGGUGUCCUAUUGCCUGCAGCUCCCUGGUAUUAAUUGGAAGGAUCUGGGUCUUGUAUUAAUAGCUAAUGUUAGUGAAUAUAAAUGCUAUGGGGUUGUACUUCAGUAACUGCAAAUUCAAGGCGAGUUCAGGGAGAAGGUAGCAACAGUUGAGGUAACCCUGCAAGAGGCCUCACACCCACUGCUGCUGUCCUGAGGUUUUCUUUGAUGCUGUAUUUUUCCUGUGUGUUAAAUUCCUGCGGUACAGGACCAGACUUUUAAAUUAAGCCUAAAAGCAGUGGCUUUUUUGCAAGAUCUAAGUAUUAAACUGAGUGCUUCAUUGGUAUUAAGAAGUAUACUGAAUUGUCUUUGAGGUUUUUUUAAGCUAAAGAAAGAAGUAAAUUUUCAGGUAUUUCCUUCUUCUCCCACCCUCCUCUCCUCUGUGUACUGCUGCUUGUGAGAUAAAUUGUAUAAGGGAAAGGGGGCGGGGAAGGGAAGAGCUGGUAUUGCAGUCUAAGAACUCAAAUUACAUUUCUUUACUACAAUUUUAAAUUGAGUAUUUCCUGUAAUGCAAUUGAAAGAAGAAGCAGUAGACUAUAUUCUUGUGCUUUGCCUCUGGCUUUUAGUUUGAGAUUCUCUUAAUUCAUUUUAAGAUUAUGAUAAUCUGGUACCUCUAAGAUGAAAAAGAGAUUCCUCAGUUCAUGCCACAUUGAAAUUGCUUCAGUUCUGCAAAAUGAUUAGUGUUAUUGUGCCAUUUUAAUUGCCAAGAACGGGUUUUGUGUGUACUUGGAAGAGGGACUUCCAAGACCCAUUCUUCUUUACAGUUAAGAGUUAAUUGAGGUUGUAGUCUGGUGAGUAUUUUUUCUGGCAGCAGCACCGGUCUAUGCAGCCCUCCCUCUGCCCAUUUUCACCUCCAAGCUGGUCCAAGCAGGAACUGAUCCAGGCUAAAGAUGGCUGGCAAAGACAUACUCCAGCUGGGUUGCCCCAUCUUUCGGUGGCCACGUGAGCAGCAGAAGGACUGGCAGAGGCUGGGUAAGUUUUUAACUCUUGCACAAAGAAAUGCCCAUGUUUAUCCAGAGCGUAUGGCUGAGGGCUGGAGCUCCUACCCUUAAACUGAAGCUAUUUAUUUACUCCGUACAGACUGAGUCUGUAUGGAGUCCUGUGGAAAUGACAACUUACCUUGAUCAGGGAAAUCCCAAAUGUCCCGGGUUUUAUCUGGCCUGCAAUCUGCUCACAGAUUCGUCCAAUGAAUUGAUGUGGCAGAACAAACACUAGAACAUCUGCCCCAUUUGUUGCUUCAGCCACGUCUGGUACAGCCACCUGGGAUAAGAGUGACAACCAAAAUGAGCCCCAGGUAGGAAUCCUCACACCUUGCAAGAUACCAGCAUGGUGAAGCCAUAGCAGACUUGUUGCAAAUGGCCUUAAUUUUAACUGGUGCUGUGGUGUAGCUGCUAGUUCUUCAGGCAAGCAGCUACAGAUUUCUUCUGAAAUGUCCAAAGCAGCCUGUUUUAGGUAUGGAUUCCUAACAAUUUUUUUCAUCAUUUAUCCCAGCCCUAUGUGGAUAACCUGGGGAAGAUGAUAUACUUCCUAAACUUGCAGCAUCCUGGGAAGCCCCUUUGCUGGUUCAGCUUCUUAAGGUGGUUCCUGAAGAUACUGAGCAACCCCAUACAGUUCUGGAAUGAGUGGUAGCACUGGGGAGCACAGGAGCAAACCAGGGUGGUGAGACAGCAUCUUCUGGCAGUCUUUAGUUUCCAUAGGUCACUAGCAGAGAAUUCCUCAGGAAUCAACUAUAUCAAAAGGCAGAGAUAUCAUCAUCUUUGGGGGGUAUGUGUCUUUGUUUUAAAUAUAUAGUAACUUGACCAAUAGUUACAAAAACUAUAAAACAUGCUUAAUAAGUAGCAAGCUGUAUCUUCCUCCAAAUGCUAACAUUACUCAGAACAAUUCAAGCCAUGCUACAGAGGCAAUGGCAGGUGAAUUUGAGCCUGCUAUCACCAGCAGUUUACAAUCGGAGAAAAUACCGCCCUUGAAUGCAGCCUUGGAGCAUACAGCCUUUGAGCAAGCGGGAUUCCCAGCGGGAGAACCAGAAGUGCUGCCAGCAAGGCUGCUUCUCCAGGAAAACAGCAAAGCAGCAGAGGCUGGCAGUGCUGUACAGACAGUGCUCCUGUCUCUCCAAAAUCCUGCAGAGCAAUGCAAGGGAAAAAUUAGGUAGGUGUUUUUUUUCUUGUCAGUUGGAGAUGAAGGUGUGGGGGUCCCCCCAAGCUUUACCGCAACCAGACGAUUUCUGCUGGUAAAGCCUCAGACUUUGCUAUAGACAAGAUGAGGCUGAUCUCAGGUGAUGAUGCCAAGCCUGUUGAUCUGCUAGAGGGUUGUAAAAAUAACAGUGACAAGUCAGUUGUAACCCAGGAGAACUGUGGGCCAAGUUCAAACCACAGAGUGCAAAUAUACAAUCGCAGCACUACAUAAAACCAUUCUCCAAGCAAGGAGACCCACCACAUGCAGCACCUUAACUGCCUUUUACAACUGAAGCUGUUCUGGAGUUGCGGUGCUACUUUCUUUGACUCACAAAACAGUGGCAUUUGCCAAAACCUUUAACAGCCAAAACCCCUCACCUUGCUUGCUUCAGUAGCAGUAAAUUAGGCAAGAUGGUUAAUUUAAGUCGAGGGGCAUAACUUGGUAUUUUAAAUGUUCAUGAAAAUUAAAUACCUUAUAUUUUUGUGGAAUUUACAGCACUAUUAAUUACAGCAGUAUGUUGCUAUCCUGAAAUCACCCUUGAGUCAACAGCUCCUUAUUCAUCUCCUUGUAAACCGCAGCUGUUAGCUGUGCUGUUGAUUUCUUUUUUUAGAAGAAGUGAGAGCAGUAGCUUUCCCUUUUUUUCCAGAAGAUGCUGUGGGUUUGACGUAUCUCCGUUCUGAGUAGACAGAUCUCUGCCUGCCCUUUCUAGAGUUAUGCUGCUUUCCUGCUGGAGAGAAGGACGGUGCAUUACCAGCACCCAGCACAGUCAGCUGGGUGUUUGAAGUUGCGUGUGACAUACUAGACAAGCAGAAGUCACAGAAGUGAACUAUAUUCCAAGAGCACAAUCAAGGCUUGAGCUGAGGAUGAAUUCUGGUUCUGCAUGAGAUGUAUUCAGAAGCUCUCCUGGUUCAAUUUAUGUCCAUUGGCUCUUGUUUUCCUUCUGUGUACCUCUGUAAAAAGCCUGGCCAUCUGUUCAUGUGGGAGACAGGAACCCUAGUUCAAGCUGGAUCUUUGCUGGGGACUCCACAGUCCAAAUGAAUCUUAGAAGACUGGGAGAGCUUGUGGGUUCUGAAGGGCCAGGAAGUGAAUUAAGCCUCUGUUUUUAAAAACAGGUAACUGAACCGUGAUCAGCGUAAACACAAACCCUCCUGCACCUGGCUGGCAACCGCAAAAUGCAGUGCAGCGCUUAUUUCACUUAACCACAUCGCUCCUGAAUCUCCUGGCAGCGUUGAGUUAGUAAGUCCCUGUGACCUGCUGAACUUCUGCAGCUGGCAUCAGAUAUUGCAACAUGCUGCGUCAUGUGUCAACCACGUUUCCGAGCUGCAGGAAACACUCAAAAGCAGCAAUCUGAACUGUCACCCAAAUAUCCAGGAGGAACAUAAGAAAAAAUGUUUGCCAAAGAUAAAUAUUGCAUUUCUAUGUUGUGCUACGACAACCUGUUUUGCUACAGCAGCUAUGAAUAGAUAUGAUUUAAAUAUCAGA